GGAAACCUUACUAGGGUAAGACAUUGGUAUGAUUGACAGAUUACUUGAUCUUUCUUGAUUUGGUGGGUGGUGGUGCAUGGCCGUUCUUAGUUGGUGGAGUGAUUUGUCAUUGCUUGAUUGCGGUAACGAACGAGACCUUUGCAUGCUAAAUAGUUUCUUGUAUCUUCGGAUAUAAGUCAAACUUCUUAGAUGGACUUUGUGCGUCAAGCACACGGAAGUUAGAGGCAAUAA
rnacentral:rRNA from 1 species